rnacentral:rRNA from 1 species
CGUAGGGUGCAAGCGUUGUCCGGAAUUAUUGGGCGUAAAGAGCUCGUAGGCGGUCUGUCGCGUCUGCUGUGAAAACCUCGGGCUCAACCCGGGGCUGGCAGUGGGUACGGGCAGACUGGAGUGCAGUAGGGGAGACUGGGAUUCCUGGUGUAGCGGUGAAAUGCGCAGAUAUCAGGAGGAACACCGGUGGCGAAGGCGGGUCUCUGGGCUGUUACUGACGCUGAGGAGCGAAAGCGUGGGGGAGCGAACAGGAUU